rnacentral:rRNA from 1 species
GAGUUUGAUCGUGGCUCAGAUUGAACGCUGGCGGCAGGCCUAACACAUGCAAGUCGAGCGGAUGACGGGAGCUUGCUCCUUGAUUCAGCGGCGGACGGGUGAGUAAUGCCUAGGAAUCUGCCUGGUAGUGGGGGACAACGUUUCGAAAGGAACGCUAAUACCGCAUACGUCCUACGGGAGAAAGCAGGGGACCUUCGGGCCUUGCGCUAUCAGAUGAGCCUAGGUCGGAUUAGCUAGUUGGUGGGGUAAUGGCUCACCAAGGCGACGAUCCGUAACUGGUCUGAGAGGAUGAUCAGUCACACUGGAACUGAGACACGGUCCAGACUCCUACGGGAGCAGCAGUGGGGAAUAUUGGACAAUGGGCGAAAGCCUGAUCCAGCCAAUGCCGCGUGUGUG